AAUAGAUACCCCGGUAGUCCACGCCCUAAACGAUNGUCAACUAGUUGUUGGGGAUUCAUUUCCUUAGUAACGUAGCUAACGCGUGAAGUUGACCGCCUGGGGAGUACGGUCGCAAGAUUAAAACUCAAAGGAAUUGACGGGGGACCCGCACAAGCAGUGGAUGAUGUGGAUUAAUUCGAUGCAACGCGAAAAACCUUACCUACCCUUGACAUGGUCGGAAUCCUGCUGAGAGGCGGGAGUGCUCGAAAGAGAACCGGCGCACAGGUGCUGCAUGGCUGUCGUCAGCUCGUGUCGUGAGAUGUUGGGUUAAGUCCCGCAACGAGCGCAACCCUUGUCCUUAGUUGCUACGCAAGAGCACUCUAAGGAGACUGCCGGUGACAAACCGGAGGAAGGUGGGGAUGACGUCAAGUCCUCAUGGCCCUUAUGGGUAGGGCUUCACACGUCAUACAAUGGUCGGAACAGAGGGUUGCCAAGCCGCGAGUGGAGCCAAUCCCAGAAAACCGAUCGUAGUCCGGAUCGCAGUCUGCAACUCGAC
rnacentral:rRNA from 1 species